UACGGGGGGGGCAAGCGUUGUUCGGAUUCAUUGGGCGUAAAGGGCGUGUAGGUGGCGCGCUAAGUCGGGUGUGAAAUUUCGGAGCUUAACUCCGAAACUGCAUUCGAUACUGGCGUGCUUGAGGACUGGAGAGGAGACUGGAAUUCAUGGUGUAGCAGUGAAAUGCGUAGAGAUCAUGAGGAAGACCAGUGGCGAAGGCGGGUCUCUGGACAGUUCCUGACGCUGAGGCACGAAGGCCAGGGGAGCAAACGGG
rnacentral:rRNA from 1 species